UGGGGAAUAUUGCACAAUGGGCGCAAGCCUGAUGCAGCCAUGCCGCGUGUGUGAAGAAGGCCUUCUGGUUGUAAAGCACUUUCAGCGGGGAGGAAGGCGAUAAGGUUAAUAACCUUGUCGAUUGACGUUACCCGCAGAAGAAGCACCGGCUAACUCCGUGCCAGCAGCCGCGGUAAUACGGAGGGUGCAAGCGUUAAUCGGAAUUACUGGGCGUAAAGCGCACGCAGGCGGUCUGUCAAGUCGGAUGUGAAAUCCCCGGGCUUAACCUGGGAACUGCAUUCGAAACUGGCAGGCUAGAGUCUUGUAGAGGGGGGUAGAAUUCCAGGUGUAGCGGUGAAAUGCGUAGAGAUCUGGAGGAAUACCGGUGGCGAAGGCGGCCCCCUGGACAAAGACUGACGCUCAGGUGCGAAAGCGUGGGGAGCAAACAGG
rnacentral:rRNA from 1 species